UGGGGAAUCUUCCGCAAUGGACGAAAGUCUGACGGAGCAACGCCGCGUGAGUGAAGAAGGUUUUCGGAUCGUAAAACUCUGUCUUUUGGGGCGAACGUGAGUAUGGUGAACAAUCAUAGUCAGUGACGGUACCAAAGGAGGAAGCCACGGCUAACUACGUGCCAGCAGCCGCGGUAAUACGUAGGUGGCAAGCGUUGUCCGGAAUUAUUGGGCGUAAAGAGCGCGUAGGCGGGAUAGUCAGUCUGUUGUAAAAGUGCGGGGCUCAACCCCGUGAUCGCAAUGGAAACAGCUAUUCUUGAGUGCAGGAGAGGAAAGUGGAAUUCCCAGUGUAGCGGUGAAAUGCGUAGAUAUUGGGAGGAACACCAGUGGCGAAGGCGACUUUCUGGACUGUGUCUGACGCUGAGGCGCGAAAGCCAGGGGAGCGAACGGGAUUAGAUACCCCGGUAGUCCUGGCCGUAAACGAUGGGUACUAGGUGUGGGAGGUAUCGACCCCUUCCGUGCCGGAGUUAACGCAAUAAGUACCCCGCCUGGGGAGUACGGUCGCAAGACUGAAACUUAAAUGAAUUGACGGGGUCAUAGCUGUUUCCU
rnacentral:rRNA from 1 species